GACGAACGCUGGCGGCGUGCUUAACACAUGCAAGUCGAACGGAAAGGCCCUGCUUUUGUGGGGUGCUCGAGUGGCGAACGGGUGAGUAACACGUGAGUAACCUGCCCUUGACUUUGGGAUAACUUCAGGAAACUGGGGCUAAUACCGGAUAGGAGCUCCUGCUGCAUGGUGGGGGUUGGAAAGUUUCGGCGGUUGGGGAUGGACUCGCGGCUUAUGCGCUUGUUGGUGGGGGAGUGGCUUACCAAGGCGUUGACGGUUAGCCGGCCUGAGAGGGUGAACGGCCACCAUGUGCCUGCGAUACGGCCCAGAGGGCUACAUGAGGCAUCGGUGGAGAACAUUGCCCAAUGGGCGGAAGCCUGGUACAACGUCGCCGCGUGUGGAAUGUCGGUCUUCGGGGUAUAAAGCGCGUUAGCCUGUGACGUAGCGUGUGUGACGGUAACUUAUAAAGAAGCACCGGCUAACUACGUG
rnacentral:rRNA from 1 species